UACGAGGGGGGCAAGCGUUGUUCGGAAUUAUUGGGUGUAAAGGGUGCGUAGGCGGGUCUUUAAGUCAGGGGGGAAAUCCUGGAGCUCAACUCCAGAACUGCCUUUGAUACUGAGGAUCUUGAGUUCGGGAGAGGUGAGUGGAACUGCGAGUGUAGAGGUGAAAUUCGUAGAUAUUCGCAAGAACACCAGUGGCGAAGGCGGCUCACUGGCCCGAUACUGACGCUGAGGCACGAAAGCGUGGGGAGCAAACAGG
rnacentral:rRNA from 1 species